CAGCCCCAGGCGCUUCGGACCGGGACGGAAACUCCGAGGUAACUCUUCACUCGUCAGAAAUUUUGCGUGUGGACCGAUUUCCGCACAUGCGCACUCGACGCCGCAGUGUCCACAAGACGCCUAGGUAGCGGGGAGGCUGGUGAGCGAGCCGCUGGUGAUAGGGACAGAUGUUGGAGACAGCUCCAGCUGAUGUCUGUCACGUGGUACAAUGAGCCCAGUGUGGCCAGAGCUCCUGGAUUCACAAAAGAAACUGGAAACCCAGAUUCUUAUGAAAAAUUCCCUUACACAGGCAUUCCCUCGGAGAUACUGUGGGUUUGGUACCAGACUACUGCAAUAAAGCAGACGCCUGUGGCUCAACAUGGAGAAAAGCCUACUAUUGAGCCCACGAGCCCAGACGUGGUUACCUUUUUGCGUGGCCGAAGCUUGUCCCGCCAUUCCUUCAGGUUCUGAUUAUGGCUCUCAUCUAGGGCCUUCAGCUUCUGGGUUUCAUGUUCUACCAGGAGGUGACACUUUUCAUUCUGGAACAAAUUCCAGGCAGAACAGGAGAGAUUUGUGUAAAGAUGAGGACAUGGACCUGACAGAGACACUCCCAACUUUAUUAUUCUCUGAGGUAAGUCAUCUGCCUCACAAAAUUUACCUGGAAUUUCUCGCAAGGCAAAAGUGAUAAGUCCCUGUUGAUCCUCACAGAGAAUCAAUCUUGUGGUUUAUAAGGCAUUUAUAAAGCAAGAGGAAAGGGUCUCCCUCCAGAUACCUCAAUCGUUUGGGGUUGGAAGAGUGGGACACCUUGGGGGGAUUUUCAUUUUGGAUUUCAACUCAAGGCUCCCGAGAGUUUAGAAAUCUGUUUAGUUAGAAAUAAUACUACAGCACGGAAUACCUUUGACCUGCCAGAAGCUGGGCUCCUGGCACUUUCUGUGGGUUCUCUCAGUUAAUCCUCCCAGUCACCCCGUGAGCAGAUGCAGAAG